rnacentral:rRNA from 1 species
UACGUAGGUGGCGAGCGUUAUCCGGAAUUACUGGGUGUAAAGGGCGUGUAGGCGGCACUGUACGUCAGAUGUGAAAUCUCCCGGCUCAACCGGGAGCGUGCAUCUGAUACUGCAGUACUUGAGUGAUAGAGGGGAAAGCGGAAUUCCUAGUGUAGCGGUAAAAUGCGUAGAUCUUAGGAGGAACACCAGUGGCGAAGGCAGCUUUCUGGCUAUUAACCGACGCUGAGCCGCGAGAGCGUGGGGCGCAAACAUG